rnacentral:rRNA from 1 species
UACGUAGGGGGCAAGCGUUAUCCGGAUUUACUGGGUGUAAAGGGGGCGCAGACGGCGAUGCAAGCCAGGAGUGAAAGCCCGGGGCCCAACCCCGGGACUGCUCUUGGAACUGCGUGGAUGGAGUGCAGGAGGGGCAGGCGGAAUUCCUGGUGUAGCGGUGAAAUGCGUAGAUAUCAGGAGGAACACCGGUGGCGAAGGCGGCCUGCUGGACUGCAACUGACGUUGAGGCCCGAAAGCGUGGGGAGCAAACAGG